CCGCGUAGAGUCGCGUCGGUCGAAGUCUCGCUCCCUCGCGCAGCGGCAGAGAACGCGUUGUUCGACUUUCGAGGCGACGUACGCUAGAGUAUACAUGUCUUCAUUAUUGAUGCAAAACUUCCACGAUGGUUGAUCAUAACGAGAGAUUGUUAUUGGAGUUACUCAAGAAAAGUGGAAAUAAUGUGUGUGCCGAUUGUGGAGCUGAAGACCCGGACUGGGCGUCGUACAACCUGGGCAUCUUCAUCUGCAUGCGCUGCGCCAGCAUCCACCGCAGCAUGGGCGCCCACAUCAGUAAGGUGAAGCACCUGAAGCUGGACCGCUGGGAGGACUCCCAAGUGCAGCGCAUGAAGGAGGUGGGCAACUCGCAGGCCAAGGCCAAGUACGAGUACCGCGUGCCGCCCUGCUACCGGCGCCCGGUGCGGAACGACCCGCAAGUACUAAUCGAGCAGUGGAUCCGCGCGAAGUACGAACGCGAAGAGUUCUGCCACCCGGAGCGGCAGAGCUACGUGUCCGGCACCAUGGAGGGGUUCCUCAUGAAGCGAGGCAAGGAGGACAGCCGCUACCAGCUGCGCAAGUUCAUACUCAACGAGACUGACGACACGCUCAAAUACCACGUAAAGGAGCACAAAGAGCCCAAGGGCAUCCUGAAGCUUUCCGAGCUGAACGUUGCGUUCGCGCCGCAGAAGAUCGGGCACAUGAACUCCAUGCAGCUGACCUUCCUCAAGGACGGCACCACGCGGCACAUCUACGUGUACCACGAGGACCCGGAGGUCAUUAAUUGCUGGUACAUGGCGAUACGAUGCGCCAAGCUCCACCAGCUGCAAGUGGCUUUCCCCGCCGCGUCAGAGUCAGAGUUACUCUUACGGCUUCCCAAAGACUUCGCGAGAGAAGGCUGGCUGUGGAAGACCGGGCCUAGAGCGUCUGACGCGCAUAGGAGAAGAUGGUUCACGCUCGAUAACAGAAAACUCAUGUACCAUGAUGAGCCAUUAGAUGCGUACCCGAAAGGAGAAAUUUAUUUGGGUCACGAAUCGAACGGCUACCUAAUAAAGGUGUCCAACACCGGCAACGGCUGCAAGGAGGCGCGCUUCCCCUUCCACGUGGUGACCCCGGAGCGGACGUACUGCCUCGCCGCCAUGACGCACGAGGACCGCGCCGGCUGGCUCGCCGUCAUACAGCAGACGCUCAAGCGACCGCUCACACCGCAAGACUCUACCAGUAAGUACCUUCCACGUGGUGACCCCGGAGCGGACGUACUGCCUCGCCGCCAUGACGCACGAGGACCGCGCCGGCUGGCUCGCCGUCAUACAGCAGACGCUCAAGCGACCGCUCACACCGCAAGACUCUACCAGUAAGUACCUUCCACGUGGUGACCCCGGAGCGGACGUACUGCCUCGCCGCCAUGACGCACGAGGACCGCGCCGGCUGGCUCGCCGUCAUACAGCAGACGCUCAAGCGACCGCUCACACCGCAAGACUCUACCAGUAAGUACCUUCCACGUGGUGACCCCGGAGCGGACGUACUGCCUCGCCGCCAUGACGCACGAGGACCGCGCCGGCUGGCUCGCUGUCAUACAGCAGACGCUCAAGCGACCGCUCACACCGCAAGACUCUACCAGUAAGUACCUUCCACGUGGUGACCCCGGAGCGGACGUACUGCCUCGCCGCCAUGACGCACGAGGACCGCGCCGGCUGGCUCGCCGUCAUACAGCAGACGCUCAAGCGACCGCUCACACCGCAAGACUCUACCAGUAAGUACCUUCCACGUGGUGACCCCGGAGCGGACGUACUGCCUCGCCGCCAUGACGCACGAGGACCGCGCCGGCUGGCUCGCCGUCAUACAGCAGACGCUCAAGCGACCGCUCACACCGCAAGACUCUACCAGUAAGUACCUUCCACGUGGUGACCCCGGAGCGGACGUACUGCCUCGCCGCCAUGACGCACGAGGACCGCGCCGGCUGGCUCGCCGUCAUACAGCAGACGCUCAAGCGACCGCUCACACCGCAAGACUCUACCAGUAAGUACCUUCCACGUGGUGACCCCGGAGCGGACGUACUGCCUCGCCGCCAUGACGCACGAGGACCGCGCCGGCUGGCUCGCCGUCAUACAGCAGACGCUCAAGCGACCGCUCACACCGCAAGACUCUACCAGUAAGUACCUUCCACGUGGUGACCCCGGAGCGGACGUACUGCCUCGCCGCCAUGACGCACGAGGACCGCGCCGGCUGGCUCGCCGUCAUACAGCAGACGCUCAAGCGACCGCUCACACCGCAAGACUCUACCAGUAAGUACCUUCCACGUGGUGACCCCGGAGCGGACGUACUGGCUCGCCGCCAUGACGCACGAGGACCGCGCCGGCUGGCUCGCCGUCAUACAGCAGACGCUCAAGCGACCGCUCACACCGCAAGACUCUACCAGUAAGUACCUUCCACGUGGUGACCCCGGAGCGGACGUACUGCCUCGCCGCCAUGACGCACGAGGACCGCGCCGGCUGGCUCGCCGUCAUACAGCAGACGCUCAAGCGACCGCUCACACCGCAAGACUCUACCAUGGAAGCCACCCUCGUCAGAAAGCGGACAACGUCAAAUUCAAUAAGCAUAUUCUCAGGAAGGUAGUUGUUGUUUUGGCUUAGAGCAAACUUAAAUUUUAUUAGGAUUACAUUAUUCAAGUAAGUAGAAUUUACAUUAAAAUAAUGCCAAUCAUUAAUUAUAUCGCCUUAGCGCCAUCGCAACGCUGCUAUUUUACCACAUAUUUUAAUAAAUUCUUGUAAUUAUAAUAUACCUAAAUGAUAUCACUAGCGCAUAUUAGAAAUAAACUUAUUUCAGUGUAUUAGAUAAUUAUGAAUUGAAGUUAAAACAUACAAUUUACUUUACUUAUUUUUAUUUAUACUUACCUAAUACUUAUAUAAAUGUAUCUAAGCAUGAAUUUAAAAUCAAAUAUUUAUACGUAGGCAAAGGUAAAGGGGAGUAAACUCAUUGAUAAGUAUACUUACAUACAUAUUUUAAAAUAUUGUAUUUUUUGCUUAAAAUGGACUAAGGACCUAAGUACUUUUAUUUCAAAAAAUAUCUAUCAAUCUAUUAUAUAUAUUAUGUAAUGAAUUUUACAAACAGAUAAUCCAGUUGACACAACUGCCCGACAGUGUAGUUUUAAGUGUAAAUAAUUUAUUGUAUUUAAAGUUAAAAUUAUGGAAUAAUUUGCUUUUAAAGUAUUUUAGCUGGUAGAGCUAUUUAUUGUUAUCAUAAUUUUUCAGAUAUUGCUUAGAUCGUCGAUAAAUUAAUAUAAUUAAAUCUAUACAUAUACAGGGAACUCAUAUGCACUAAUAACAUUUCAAAAUUUUCCUACUUUAAAAUACAUAGGUACGAUACCUAGCAACCAUUUUUAUGAGUAAUAAACAUAUUUAAGCAUUGGUUGAUCUACAUAAAGGUUCUGUGUAAUGUACUUAUGUAAUAAAUAAGUAUGAGCAUCUUUACAGAAUAUAAGCAAUAUACUUGCCUAAUUACUUAUGAUGAUCAAAUAUGUAUUUCUUUUAAUACCUACUACUUAUAAGUAGGUAUGAGACAACCUACAUUGAACUAAAAAUAUGCCUGGGUCCUAAUUUAUACGAAGAUCUUAGCAUUUUAUACAUAGAAUAAGUAUAAGCAGUGCCGAGUGGUACAAUUUAUGCAAAUAACAAUGCAAUAAUAAAAAUAAAGUAGGUAAACACGCUGUGAAACAGCUGUAAGAAUGCUUUUGUAAAUAGGUAAUUUAGUCUAAAAUCUUAGUGCAUGCUUUAAAAUAUUUUAUACUGAUUUAGGUGUUGUAUAAUGUAGGUAUCCAAAUAUCCAAGAAAAUAUUCAGAUGUUUUACCUUUGUAUUUUUUAAAAGUUUCUCAUCUUAUAUUAGGUACCUACCAACAGCCAUUUUAUGUUUGCAAAAUCUCUAAUUACCUAGUACGUACCUUAAUAAAGAUACCAUAUAAAGCUACCCAUACUAUUACAAACAAAUAUGUAAUUUCAUAACUAAUAUAAAUGUACUUAUCCAUAAAUAUAGCUUCUAAAACAAACAAAUGUA